rnacentral:rRNA from 1 species
CAUAGCAGUCAUAUCACCCUGUAGCCCAAGACUGGUUGCCCACUGAAGCCAAGCAGGGAUGAGACUGGUCAGUACCUGGAUGGGAGACCUCCUGGGAAAACUAGGUUGCUGCUGGAA